rnacentral:lncRNA from 1 species
AAAACUUUUGCUGAGUUAACCCUGGAUAUUUUACAGUGGUUCGCUGUGAUGGCAUAUCCUAGCCUAAACUGACUAAUACAAGGGGUUUGGCUCCUAAAAGUAACAGCAAAGAACAGAGAAGAUGGUCAAGCUACAGUUUGGAGUGUCUGAACAUUUCUUAAGACCAAGAGUAGUUCGACCAUCCGCCUACCUAUGUAUUCAGUCCCAGGGAAGAUACGAAGUCUCUUCCUUGUAGGGAUUACGAAGAAGCAGGUACAAGUGACAAAUCAAAGAGCAAGGUACUCCCCGGGGACUGCCACCUUGCCUUGAGUCUCCAACAUGGCUGGCAUCCCUGGACGGUAGAAAUUACAUCUUGCACAUCAUUUAUUUCCAAAGGAUCUUGGCCAUGCAAUAUUCCCCAGCUGUUCUCAUCCACAUAGAACUGGCUCAUCUUCAAAUGACAAUAUCAUUCCUCCUCUUGAAUUUGGGACGUGGGUCAGUCCUGGGAACAAGAGAUGGCUUGAGCAUGUUUGGAUCCAUGUCUUCCAGCAGCCAUGGGAAUCAACUGCAGACCCUUUGAACAUGACAUGCCACUCAAUUUUUUUGGUGUGAUGGAAAAUCCCACACCCCCAUAAUGGCCCUGUCUCCAACCCUUCCACCCUCAGGUUGUCUCUCAAUCCUUGAUGUCAACUGCCAACCUCUCAGACCAAGGCUUGGGACUUUGCCAUAUGGGAUGCCUUUGAUUACAGUGGGGGUCACUAUGAACAAGGAUUGCAGAGUUGUUCAGAGGAGAUUAAAAACCUGCCCCAUCAGGCAGCCAGUGCAUGCCCAAGCCAAGAAGAAAGCUAAGAAUCUCCACUCCCACUUUAUGAUCUAACCACUAGACUGAGCUCCUGUUACUUGACAAAAAUGAUUUGCUUUUAAUUAAAAUAGGAGCAU